rnacentral:rRNA from 1 species
GACGAACGCUGGCGGCGUGCUUAACACAUGCAAGUCGAACGGAAAGGCCCUGCUUUUGUGGGGUGCUCGAGUGGCGAACGGGUGAGUAACACGUGAGUAACCUGCCCUUGACUUUGGGAUAACUUCAGGAAACUGGGGCUAAUACCGGAUAGGAGCUCCUGCUGCAUGGUGGGGGUUGGAAAGUUUCGGCGGUUGGUGAUGGACUCGCGGCUUAUCAGCUUGUUGGUGGGGUAGUGGCUUACCAAGGCUUUGACGGGUAGCCGGCCUGAGAGGGUGACCGGCCACAUUGGGACUGAGAUACGGCCCGGACUCCUACGGGAGGCAGCAGUGGGGAAUAUUACACAAUGGGCGGAAGCCUGAUGCAGCAACGCCGCGUGCGGGAUGACGGCCUUCGGGUUGUAAACCGCUUUCGCCUGUGACGAAGCGUGAGUGACGGUAAUGGGUAAAGAAGCACCGGCUAACUACGUG